rnacentral:sRNA from 12 species
GCAGCGAGAAAGCGUUGCCGCAGGCAACGACCCGAAGGGCGAAGCGCGCAGCGCUGAGUCAUCCUUCCCCCACCACCA